UCUGGUUGAUCCUGCCAGAGGUCAUUGCUAUCGGGGUCCGAUUUAGCCAUGCUAGUUGCACGGGUUAAGACCCGUAGCGAACAGCUCAGUAACACGUAGAUAAACUACCCUAUGGACUGUGAUAACCUCGGAAAACUGAGGGUAAUAACAGAUAGUACUCCUAUGCUGGAAUGCAGUGAGUACGAAAUGCUCCGGCGCCAUAGGAUGUGACUGCGGCCGAUUAGGUAGACGGUGGGGUAACGGCCCACCGUGCCGAUAAUCGGUACGGGUGGUGAGAGCCAGAGCCCGGAGAUGGAAUCUGAGACAAGAUUCCAGGCCCUACGGGGCGCAGCAGGCGCGAAAACUUUACAAUGCGCGAAAGCGCGAUAAGGGGACCCCGAGUGCGAGGGCAUAACGUCCUCGCUUUUGUAUAUCGUAAGAAGAUAUACGAAUAAGGGCUGGGCAAGACCGGUGCCAGCCGCCGCGGUAAUACCGGCAGCUCGAGUGAUGAUCACUAUUAUUGGGCCUAAAGCGUCCGUAGCCGGUUGAACAAGUCCUUCGGCAAAUCCACUCGCUCAACGAGUGGGCUCUCGAGGGAAACUGUUCGACUUGGGGCCGGGAGAUCUGAGGGGUACGUCUAGGGUAGGAGUGAAAUCCUGUAAUCCUAGACGGACCGCCGGUGGCGAAAGCGCCUCAGAAGAACGGACCCGACGGUCAGGGACGAAAGCUAGGGUCUCGAACCGGAUUAGAUACCCGGGUAGUCCUAGCCGUAAACGAUGCUCGCUAGGUGUUGCGAAAGCUACGUGCUUUUGCUGUGCCGUAGGGAAGCCGUGAAGCGAGCCGCCUGGGAAGUACGUCCGCAAGGAUGAAACUUAAAGGAAUUGGCGGGGGAGCACUACAACCGGAGGAGCCUGCGGUUUAAUUGGACUCAACGCCGGAAAUCUCACCAGUACCGACAAUUGCAGUGACAGUCAAGUUGAUGACUUUACUCGAGCUCUUGAGAGGAGGUGCAUGGCCGCCGUCAGCUCGUACCGUGAGGCGUCCUGUUAAGUCAGGCAACGAGCGAGACCCACAUCUCUAAUUGCCAGCAGCAUCCAUGUGAUGGCUGGGUACAUUAGAGAGACUGCCGUCGUUAAGGCGGAGGAAGGAAUGGGCAACGGUAGGUCAGUAUGCCCCGAAUGUACUGGGCUACACGCGGGCUACAAUGGCCGGGACAAUGGGAUGCAACCCCGAGAGGGGAAGCUAAUCUCCUAAACCCGGUCUUAGUUCGGAUUGAGGGCUGAAACUCGCCCUCAUGAAGCUGGAUUCGGUAGUAAUCGCGUCUCAAUAGGGCGCGGUGAAUACGUCCCUGCUCCUUGCACACACCGCCCGUCAAAGCACCCGAGUGAGGUUUGGAUGAGGCCGCCCUUAGGCGGUCGAAUCUGGGCUUCGUAAGGGGGCUUAAGUCGUAACAAGGUAGCCGUAGGGGAAUCUGCGGCUG
rnacentral:rRNA from 1 species